ensembl:lncRNA
GUUACGAACCUGUGUACGUUGGGUGUGUCUGAAGCCACGCAUCUGUAUCUUCAGCCUCAGGUUUUCACACAGCCCUAACGGGGUUAGAGGAAUACAAAUACAUGCUGAGGCAGGCAUGGUGGUGCACGCCUGUGAUCCUAGUGAUCCUAGCACUCAGGAGGCAGAGGCAGGAGGAUCGCCAGGAGAUCAAAGACCAGCCUGGGCCACAGAGUUUCAGGUUUUCUAAAAGCACUUGGCUUAUCCAAGAGUAGACUUCCGUAAGCCCCAAAGCCUGGGGACAGCUGCACAUUCACUAAGAGCCGA